rnacentral:rRNA from 1 species
UACGUAGGGUCCAAGCGUUAAUCGGAAUUACUGGGCGUAAAGCGUGCGCAGGCGGUUCUGAAAGUCAGCUGUGAAAGCCCCGGGCUUAACCUGGGAAUGGCGGUUGAAACUACAGGACUAGAAUCUGGCAGAGGGGGGUGGAAUUCCACGUGUAGCAGUGAAAUGCGUAGAGAUGUGGAGGAACACCGAUGGCGAAGGCAGCCCCCCUGGGCUGAGAUUGACGCUCAGGCACGAAAGCGUGGGGAGCAAACAGG